UAAUACGUAGGUCUCGAGCGUUAUCCGGAAUUAUUGGGCGUAAAGAGCGUGUAGGCGGUUAGAUAAGUCUGGUGUUAAAUACAAUGGCUCAACCAUUGUAAGCAUUGGAUACUGUUUAACUAGAAUACUGGAGAGGCAAGUGGAAUUUCAUGUGUAGCGGUGGAAUGCGUAGAUAUAUGAAGGAACACCAAUGGCGAAGGCAGCUUGCUGGACAGAGAUUGACGCUGAGACGCGAAAGUGUGGGUAGCAAACAGGAUUAGAUACCCUGGUAGUCCACACCGUAAACGAUGAGUGCUAGAAGUUGGUAGAGAUAUCAGUUUCGGAGUUAACGCAUUAAGCACUCCGCCUGGGGAGUACGGUCGCAAGGCUG
rnacentral:rRNA from 1 species